GACCCUGUGGUGUAGUGGACAGCAUAGCAGCCUGCGGAGCUGCUGAGCCGGGUUCAAGUCCCGGCAGGGUCA
rnacentral:tRNA from 1 species